GUUCCUUCCGAUCGAUCCAGUUUACUAUUGCUGCUCCAAGUCUUCAUCUCGAUUCAGUGCCUGGUUUAAUGAAACGACAAUGAAGUUAGCCACAUUUGCUCGAUGCGUGCACUUGCUAUGCAUUACAAGUUUAGUUCAAGGCUAGCGUAUUUCACAAAUUAAUUGUUCAAAAUAUCGGAAUCAGACGAUCCACGGAUCUGCGGCCAUUCCACUGACAUUGGACCCCACUCCGAUAAUAUUCGAGGCGUUCAACUGCUCCCGAUCCGUUAGUUUUAUUGUAGAUGGCGAGGAUGCUAAAGAAGGUGAGUUUCCACAUCAAGCUCUACUAGGAUGGCCGAAAACGAAUGAUUCGAAACAAUUUGAUUUCCGAUGCGGUGGA